AACGAACGCUGGCGGCAGGCCUAACACAUGCAAGUCGAGCGAGGACUUCGGUCCUAGCGGCGGACGGGUGAGUAACGCGUGGGAACGUGCCCCUUGGUACGGAAUAGCCCCGGGAAACUGGGAGUAAUACCGUAUGAGCUCUACGGAGGAAAGAUUUAUCGCCAAGGGAUCGGCCCGCGUUGGAUUAGGUAGUUGGUGGGGUAAUGGCCUACCAAGCCGACGAUCCAUCGCUGGUUUGAGAGGAUGAUCAGCCACACUGGGACUGAGACACGGCCCAGACUCCUACGGGAGGCAGCAGUGGGGAACCUUAGACAAUGGGCGCAAGCCUGAUCUAGCCAUGCCGCGUGAGCGAUGAAGGCCUUAGGGUUGUAAAGCUCUUUCAGCUGGGAAGAUAAUGACUGUACCAGCAGAAGAAGCCCCGGCUAACUCCGUGCCAGCAGCCGCAGUAAUAC
rnacentral:rRNA from 1 species